rnacentral:rRNA from 1 species
AUUGAACGCUGGCGGCAGGCCUAACACAUGCAAGUCGAACGAGUGGCGGACGGGUGAGUAAUGUCUGGGAAUCUGGCUUAUGGAGGGGGAUAACGACGGGAAACGGUCGCUAAUACCGCAUACCAUAGGAUGUGCCCAGAUGGGAUUAGGUAGUUGGUGGGGUAAAGGCUCACCUAGGCGACGAUCCCUAGCUGGUCUGAGAGGAUGACCAGCCACACCGGAACUGAGAAACGGCCCAGACUCCUACGGGAGGCAGCAGUGGGGAAUAUUGGACAAUGGGGGAAACCCUGACGCAGCCAUGCCGAGUGUGUGAAGAAGGUCUUCGGAUUGUAAAGCACUUUCGGUAUUGAGGCGUUAACAACAGAAUAAGCACCGGCUAACUCCGUGCCAGCAGCCGCGGUAAUAC